rnacentral:rRNA from 1 species
CCCUUAGAUGUCCUGGGCCGCACGCGCGUUACACUGAUGCAUUCAACGAGCUUAUAACCUUGGCCGAGAGGCCUGGGCAAUCUUGUUAACGUGCAUCGUGAUAGGGAUAGAUUAUUGAAAUUAUUAAUCUUGAACGAGGAAUUCCUAGUAAACGCAGAUCAUCAAUCUGCAUUGAUUACGUCCCUGCCCUUUGUACACACCGCCCGUCGCACCUACCGAUUGGAUGGUCCGGUGAAGCCUCGGGAUUGUGGUUCUUGCCGCUUUAUUGUGGCGUGACCGCGAGAACUUGUCUAAACCUUAUCAUCUAGAGGAAGGUUAAGUCGUAACA